rnacentral:lncRNA from 10 species
ACAUCUACAGAUGGCCCUGGACAUCAGCCACAUUCUGAGAAACAUGUCAUGUUCUGGGAGGGCUAAGGCAUCAAGUAAGGCCUCUGGGGCUGGAGGAUCCCAGGGCAGGUGGGGCAAUCCAGAGCUGUGGGGGCUUCCAUGGGAAUUGGGAGGUCUCAAGGCAGAGGGAGGGGUUCCACAGGAGGAGUCACAGAGCCACCAAGGGGUCUCCUGGCCCAGGGAGCAGCCAACACCAUGGACUGAACACCCGCUGGGCUCCAAGCCCUGGGCCAGGCUGGGGCAUAUGGGGCCAGGAGGCAGCUCAGAGUGGGAGACAGAGAGACAAGUGUGCUCAGAGGGCACCCGUAUCUGGAUGUAGUGUGGUCCUGAGUUUCUGGCUGGGAAGCGCUUCCAGGGUUUCAUAUGUAUUAUGGAGCUGCUUCCUCUCUCCAGGCUCACCCUGCAGGAAUCCCAGUGAAUAUAUUGCCACCAUCUUGGAGCUCAGUGCCCUCUUAGUGUAAUGGCACCAGCAGAUCUGCCUGUGCACGGACUUCCUGUACUACCUCACUCCUGAGGGGAGAUGCUUCUGCAGGGCCUAUGACCUGGUGCACAACUUUAGACACCAUCAUCCUGGAGCAGCACCUCACCCUCACUUGCCGGGGUGUUGAUGACUUCCUCAAGGCUAAGGCCACAUUCAAGAUUUUGGACUUCAGUGAUGCAUUUUUGCUGAGCAAGGUGGGCUUCUCCGGGAUUUUAGUUCAGGAGGUAGAAUGCAGCUUGAGAUCAAGUGUCUGAUCAAAUAACUUGAACUUGAUCUGGAGAGCUCUGGGGAGCCAUAGAAGUUGUUGGAUAAAGGAGGGACAGUCGUAUAUGUUUUAGAGAUGACUGUGGAAGGCUGCCUGGAAGGAGUGAACAAGAGCCAGGAGACCAGGGAGGGAGCUUGUGGGGCAGGUCUGGAGAUGACAAGGGAGGGAUCCUGCUUUGAUGAAAGGUCUUCAGGGAAUGUCUCAGGUUACACUCAGGUGUCCUCAGAGCUAGUGUGUUCAGGGGUCUUGCCUCCAGGAUGAAAAUGAGAAGGAGUUGUCAGACAAGAACAUAUAAAUGAAGGCUGGCAUCUUCGUGAGUGCCAAUCGUUGUCCUGGUGUGGACUACUGUGGGAAUAGGGGUCUCUCCAUCCAGGGACAUGGUGGAUGGACCCUACAUCACUCCAUUCUGCCCUUCCUUUCCCUCCCAUUCUGAGGGCCUCAGUGCAAGGGCGCUGUCCAACCUCUGGUGCUGAAGCAGCCGAGAGACCCAAGCCUGCCACUCAGGAUAUGACAGCACAGCCAGUGGCCUCUACUGGAUCCUGUACAACCUCAGAAGACACCUAGACACUGGGAGUGCUGCCACCACGUGGUGCAAGAGUUCUGAGGGACCGCAAUUCUGAAGACAUUGAAUGCUGCUUCCUGCUCCCUCCAUGGACCUGCACAGAAUUGUCCCAUGUUUCUGUUUGUUUGGGCACCACUGAGGAAGGAAGCAUGAAGGACGCAGAGCCAUUUUGCAAACCCUGGUCAGAAUGAAACAUUCCUUGGGAACUCGGGCCAUGAGAAGCAUCCUUCCUGACCACCUGACUGCGGAAACAUCCUUAUCGCAUCCUCCCGGGCGAAGGCCCAACAGCCUGACUGCAGGAACAUCCUUGCCAUAUCCUGCCGGGCAGCAAGCUCUACCGCCCAGACCCCUCCUUCCCAGUCCCAUGAUCGCCCCAGCCUGUGAGCGGCAGUUGGUGAUGGCACUAAGCUGAUUUCCUCCUCUGCA